rnacentral:tRNA from 1 species
AGCGGGUGUAGUUUAGUGGUAAAACUACAGCCUUCCAAGUUGUUGUCGCGAGUUCGAUUCUCGUCACCCGCUU